rnacentral:lncRNA from 1 species
UCCACUGUUGUCCCAUAGUUGCUAGAAGUGGUUAGUGUCUAACAAUCUCAUUUUAAAGAAGCGGAUACAAAAACAUACUUGAAAUAAUCACAGCAAAAAGAGGAAAUAAUUGGAAACAAGGACAUUAAACACCUUUCAUGGUUUCCAUUUUAUCCGGAUAGAUCUACAGGCUCAAGCUUUCUCGUAUUUCAGGGUAGGGUAGGCAUUUUAGACAAACACAAAGAAGUGGAGUAUAUCUAUCAACUGCAGCUUAGCACGGGUGUGAUUUUAGAACAUGAUACACAAACUAGAUUAUAUGCAUCAAAAAUAUGCGGAUUUGCUGCAGUCUUCCAGCUUGUGAUAUAUUUCUAGUGCUGCCUAUGGUGCAAUUUCCACCCCUUGUCUCAGUGCACAGAAUUAAGUAAAUAAAGUCUUUGCUGUGUUGAAAACGAGCACUUUAGAAAAUCUUUAUUCAGGGCAAUCAAAUGAUUGCAAGUAUAAUGCUAUCAAGGAAGGUAAAAGGAGCUAUCUACCCAGGACUCUAACUGCUUAGCUUAUAUUCUUGUAUAGAUCUUGAUACAGGCUUGCACACUGAAGAGAAGCAAUAGUUCCCCAUCCUCCCCCCCAAAAAAAAAGUUUGAAAGAGGACUUGCUGUUUAUGAUAUGUACACUUUUGCUUCUAGUAACCAGAUUCUGUAGGAGGUUGCUUUAAAAACAACAACACAAUCUACCCAACCUGUUAAAAUGAUUCUGAUGCAACAAUCUCAGUCCACUAAACCAUGGUUCAUUAAAUGGAUUCAGGACAAGCAUUUGUGGCCAUGUGUUCUUUCCCUGUGGAGGCUGAUCCAUUAGGGCAAGUGGGACGCUGCCCCAAUCAGUCUGCCCUCAGCCAGCCUCCACCUUACUUCCAAACAAUCUACUGUGUGGCACUGGCUGUCAACCUCCACCCUUAGUGAAGAACUCAGCAAGGAGUUGGGGCCAAAACCAUAAAUAGUUGGCUGACUACAGUUGAUUCUGGCUCCGCCAGCCAUUUGCUCUGACUCCCCCUACUGCUUGCCUCCCUGCCUUACACCCUACCAGUCCCAAAGGGCACCAACAUCCAUUCUUUCCUCUCUCCUCUCAUGUGUCUUAAUGCAAGCAUUUCCUGUUAUGCCUGAGUGGAAGGAAAACUAUGGUUUUAGCUCUGACUAGAAACUAGGAUUGCAAACUAGGAUGAAAAUAUGGUUUGCAGUCCUGGUUUGUAGAUAACUUUACCCAGAGUUUCCUGGUUGAGACAUACAGUAUUGGGAAAUGUUGGUUUAUCCAACUCCAAAAGUAUUGUACUAAGCUAUGUUAAGGGAAAGGAGUGCACGGCUAAUAUUGUUAUGUCUGAACUAGGCCAGUGAUACUAAGGAAGUAGCAGGCCUCUUUCAGCUCACCUUCAACUCUUUUAAUACUUUUAAUACUUUUUAAUACUGUCUGUAUGCAGUAUUAGGACUUAUCAAGGCAGUGUGCCUCAUGCUGCGCUUGGAAAAAGCAUGAGUAUAAGAAAUGACACUGGUCUAGGUUUUCAAAAGCAGUCUGGAGUACUUGCAGGCACUGACAUAUAAAGGUGAAAUGGCAGGGGGCCGGGUAGCAUGUGCUGCAAGCCAGAUUCAUUCACUUUAGAGCUUUCAGGAGUCUUCUAUAUGUCAGCCCAUAUAUUAAUCCCGUUCCAUUAAUACAUCACCAGUAGAAAGCAAGGGGCAAAUAAGGUGGCCCCUGCCAAUGAAUCUGUGGUUGCCUGCACAGUUCAAGGAACACUCUGUUUCCACCUCAUCAGAAGUGGUGCCAUCAAUACACGAAAAAAAUGUCAACAAGAUUCCUCCUUUAAUUAACAGAUUCUCAGAACACAAAAGCUAUUACCAGUAAGCAGUUAUCUGUGUCUGAUGAAAAUUUUGACACAAAAUGUAAAGAUGCAGCUUUAAACCCAAAGAAUAAGAAUUCCUAAAUGGUUCUUGUUGCCUCCCAUUGCUUACGAAAUAUUUAGCCAUUACUGUUUCCAGGAACUCAGAUUUCCAGUAUCUCUUCUCCCGCCUUCUCCAGAUUUUUCAACAUUGCUUGUGAUUAGCUUUGCUGUACACUUGCCAAAAUGAAUAUUCUCUGUUGCUUUAGAGAAGCUGAGUGGUGUCAAAGUUCAGUUGCUGUUCUUCUGCAAAGGCCUCUUCCUGCCAAAUAGGAUUCCUCUGAGUUCCUCUGCCUUUAGAAAAAAAUAAAUUACAGGCCAGAUUCUGAAUCAGCGUGCAGUUGCCCUUAGACUGGACAGAUGUGCACAGAAGCCGUGAAAGGAACAUUCAUAAAGAUGAACUAUUAGAACCAAUCCCUUCUACCUAAAGUCAAAUUGAAGUGCUCUAUUUUGCAUAAUACUCUGAUUUGUGGUUUGCUAAUGAGUGUUUGCUUAACUGUGUGGUUUUCAAGCUGUAGCCCAGAGAACCCUGGGGUUCCUCUGAAGCUUAUUAGGACUGCCUCAGUGUGAAGGUCUGAAACUGACUGCAUGCUUCCCUGAAAGAAAGAUCCCUCUACAGUGCCAGCCACAGUAGGUGUCCUGGAGGGCAUACCUGGUUCAUGUAGGGUGACUAUGAAGCAUAGCAGGAUGGCCAGCACUCCACGCAAGAAUCAUAGAAUUGUAGAGUUGGGAUCUCAAGGGUCAUCUAGUCCAACCUCCUGCAAUGCAGGAAUCACAACUAGAGCAUCCAUGACAGAUGGCAAAUCCACAUGAACAGACCUAUAAAUUAAAACAGAACAUUUUGCAUCCUGCAGCAAGUUCCACAGUACACAAGCCAAUGCAAAGGAGUCCCCGAAGGUAGAAAUUUAGAAGUGUGCAUAGGAUUUUGAUAAGUCUCAAACUGAAGCAGAAUGCUCUGGACAGAUAUUGGGCUUGUCCCAGUUAUAGCAAGAACUUUUCGGAGUAGUCCAAGAUUGAAGUGGGGACCUCCAAAUCGAUUUGAAAUUAUUCUGAGAUAAAAUGAACUUUAUAAAGGUGCCCAACACACGCACAAAAAUACCUCAUCCCAUUUUAUGUAAUUUGGAAGGUUUUACCUACUUAGGUUAUACCUACUUAGAAGGGGUGCUAUACCAGAAAAUCCCAUCCAAUUAUGUAAAAAAUGUUACAUUUUUUGUUAAAAAAAUCCCACAAUAGCAAAUGAGGGAGGCAUGAAGCUUCAUUUUUCUGAAUCAGGAUUUAGAAUCACAACUGAAUCAAAUCGGGCAGCCUGUGAAGUCAUUUGGACUGAACUGAGUUGUUUUUAAAAGUGCCAAAUUGGGGUGAGUAACAAAUCUGGUGGUCAGUGAACACCCAUUGAAAGCUAAUAGCUUAGCUAUUCAGCUCUGGACAAACCAGUGCCCUGCAAUGUGAAUAUUUUAGAUUGAUGAAUACAUUUUACGAAGGAAAAAAGAAGGUGGCACUUGCAGGUUGCUUCUGUAUUUUGCUAACUAUAGUCCUACAUCCACAAGACUGUUUGGAAACCCAGAUGUAUGUUUUGGAGUAAGCGGAGACAGUUUUAUUGACUGCCUCAAACCAAUGACCAGGUUUCCACAGACACCCCCAAAAACCUGCUCCCCGUGGAUGUUGCUGUAUGUUUUAAAGAUUUCUGGGUUGGAGAGGAAGCAUUUUAUCAGAAAAUUGUGUGCAGAAACGAGAAUAUGACAAGUGAAUAAGGAUUCACAGGUUAGAUAGUGAUGGGUCAAAUGUUUUUGACUUUGGAGAUUGGCAGCAUGCCAUGAUAAACAUCUGCAAUAUUAAUGGGCAACAGUUUCUCAAGUAUUUUCACAAGUGAGCUGCCAUUAGUAAAUAAAUAAAAACCUUGCAAAACUAACAGUAUUUUAACAAAGGGAAAAAAUGGUUGGAUAGACUUUAGGCAGGUCAAGACCCGUAUGCUCAUAUCAUAUCCGUAGUUCACUCUGAUUCCUUCUGCUCAUUCUUUGGGUUGCAAAGGGAAACCAAGACCCAGUGAAAUUAAUUGGUAAGGCUAACUUAGGGCCACUAAGUUCAAUGGGUUUACCCUGAGUAGAACUUAGUGAGGUACGGUCCAUCAUGUUUGUUUUAAAGAAUUGGUUUAUUUUGUCUGCCACAAAUACAUUAUUUUAUUAUACUCUUCUCUCAUUUGAUGGGAAUGGAAGGGGGGAAAUAUGUUUUCUCACUGGUUAUGCCAUCUUAGUAUAUCUAAUCAAAUUUAAUUAUUCAUAAUCUGCCUUUGGCCCAAUUCAAAAUUUUAAGUGCCCAUCAAAGUAUUUGUUAUUAAAGGAAAUGUGAGUUAAUUUGCAACUCAAUGUGCUACCAUUCAUAAAAAAACCCUCAACAUUUGCAAGCACCUGUAAUGGGGCUGUGGCAUUGUUCACUGUUCGUGUGUGUUCUGGUGUAUGAGCAUAGGGCUGUUCCACAUAAGGGGGAAUCCUGGAUCCACAUUCAUUCAAUACGUGGGAGGGUUUGUACUUUCAAUAUGAGAAAGAUUGUGUGACUGUCUUCUCUUUUACAGUAAGGUCCUUCUUUUAUCCCAGGGUUUUCUGUGCAAGCUAUAAUUAAAAUCAUUUGUUUUUAAUUAGUUUAGGAUGUUAACUGUAUUCAUUGUUUCCUACAGCCAAAGGAAGUCUUGAAGUGACUUUAAAAAAAAUUAUUGUUGUUUAGUCAUUUAGUCAUGUCCGACUCUUCGUGACCCCAUGGACCAGAGCACUCCAGGCACUCCUGUCUUCCACUGCCUCCCGCAGUUUGGUCAAACACAUGUUGGUAGCUGCUAGAACACUGUCCAACCAUCUCGUCCUCUGUCGUCCCCUUCUCCUUGUGCCCUCCAUCUUUCCCAACAUCAGGGUCUUUUCCAGGGAGUCUUCUCUUCUCAUGAGGUGGCCAAAGAAUUGGAGCCUCAGCUUCAGGAUCUGCUGUCCUUCCAGUGAGCACUCAGGGCUGAUUUCCUUAAGAAUGGAUAGGUUUGAUCUUCUUGCAGUCCAUGGGGCUCUCAAGAGUUUCCUUUAGCACCAUAAUUCAAAAGCAUCAGUUCUUCAGUGAUCAGCCUUCUUUAUGGUCCAGCUCUCACUUCCAUACAUCACUACUGGGAAAACCAUAGCUUUAACUAUAUGGACCUUUAUUAAAAAAAUAAAAAUACCAAAAUCCAAUAUAUAGAAAUGCACCCCAAAACAAUACAAGUAUACCAAAAGUGUUUGUUCAAAACAUCAUUUAAAAACUAAAAUAUCCACCCAUCCAACACAAGAGCAUAUGGUUUAAAACUGUAACAACUGGAAGAACAAGCAAAUAGUAGGUCCUCUGUGUGGACAAGACAGAGAAAUGCUGUUGGGUGACAAGAGAAGGCGGAACUGCUCAACACUUCAGCAGCCAGGCUGGUUCCUUUCAUGUAAAUUGAUUAGAAGAUUGCCUGCACAUUUUACUUCAUAAUUUUCUGUCUAGGAGGUUCAGAUGCCUACUUAAAAAGAAAAAAAUGAAUCCUGAGAUUGAACAUCAUAGGCAGCAGGCUGGUUAUGGCCCUUCCCUUAAGCCAUUGGGUCUCAAACUAUGUUUUACUGAAGUGUUGGUUUUAAAUAAAUAAAUAAAGCUUGCAUGAAGCUUUUUACACAGGGAAGCAUUUAAAAAUGUCAUCUCCCACCUUCAUCCUGAAGUGAUAUAUCUGAUUCUACCACCUUAGGAUUCUGCCACCCCCUUCCUGCUGCAUGUGUAGGCCUUGCCUGUAUCAUAUCUAACACCAGAUUAUCACCAGGUUGCUAUUUGUCAACUCUGUGUUAACAGGAAUGCUUACAGUUGUUACUUUCAGUGGUACAGCAUUAACAUGAAGGGACAUGUUGAAAAACUAUUAUCUUAUUGCUUAGUAACAUCAAAAACCUCCCGACCUGCACUGUUUCAUUUGUUCUUUUUAUCUUCUUUUCAUUUCUGAGCCAAAUUUUCACAGAGGCUAACCCACCUUUAGUUACUUGCCUCCAACUUGAAUAUGGGAACAGAGUCAAAAAAACAUUUUGUCAUGCUAAAUAAUUUGCUGUUGGACUCUGCCAAAACGUCUAGCUUUAAUCUCCAGAUGGAGACAUCAGGGUAAGCCAGGGCAAAUGACAUGAAUUUCCUCCUGCAUUCUAGUUCUAUCAUAAACAGCCAUUUGACAGGUGAUAACUUUCGGCUGAGAACACCUGAUUGUUAACAGCGUCAGUGAAAGCUGGUUAGUCACACAAGUCUGGCUUCACUUUGCAAUACCUAGUGGAAUUUUUCUCGUCAUUUUUGUUUCGAUUUUGGCAGUCUGGGAAUUAAAGAUCCUCAGGGGAUCUGAUGCGUUUUUUGAUUGUAAUAUCAAUGGCGGUCCAUGAGAAAAAAAUGAACUGCUAUAUCACAUAAGUUGAUAGGUGAAACACAGUUAUUAAGACUUAUAAUCAUAGCAGCAUCAAUUUACAUUGCCUUUUUCAGGGUAGCAUAAAAGGAGAGGGAGUGGAUCCCUGCCCCACUGAGAUUAAAAUGUAAAAUUUAUUCAGGAGGAGACAACAGGGGAAAGGGAGGGUGACAGAGGAAAGUGUAACUGGGAAAAUUUGUAUAAAUGCAUUUACACACACUUAAGUUUGAGUAGGGAAUGAAGGCUAAGUGGUGGAGCCAAAGGCUUCAUAAAAUUGUUAAUGCCCAGUUUAGGCUGAUUCGCCAGCUGUGGCCAUUUCUGGACAGGUCACUUCACGCUCUAGUUAACUCCAUUCUGGACACUGUAGUGUGCUGUGUGAGGGACUGCCCUGCCAGGAUCCAUCCUACUCUCGAGUAGGACCUUGGCAGAGACACAUGCCCAACUGGCAUGUUCUCUCCCUCCUGGUCAAUCGUUUGGGAGCUUCAAAAGCUUUCUUCUGCCCAAACAUCACAGUGAAUGAUGCCAACAGACGUCAGCACACUCAGGGAUCCACAAAGUGUUUGCAGUUUGCGUAACAGAACUCAGCAUUUUGGCUAAUCUACUUUAUUUACAUAUAAACACACACACUGCACUGCAACAUGGCUCCCUGUCUCUCUAGCAUCAGACAGCAAAGAGAAAGAACAAAGAACAAUAGUCCCACUUCACGGAACACAGCAAUACAAAACAUCCUGUCUCCGUCACUUCCCACUCUUUGGCGUCAAAACAUACACCGUCAGGUGUAAGACAACAACCCCAUGACUGCAGACACAGGGAAUGAAUCUCCAACAUGCCUUUGGACAGUCCAGAGGCUGCCACUACUGUAGAAUGUGGCUGGUAAGUGUGGCAGUCCAAUUGGACCAUGUGUCACCAGCCCUGAAAGCGCUGCACUGGCUGCCAAUGAACUACCAGAGCCAAUUCAAGGUACUAGCAUACAAGGCCCUAAAUGGCUUGGGACUCCAAGUACCUAAACUUUCCCCAUAUCAACCAUAUCAGACCCUAUGAUUGGCAGGUGAGGUCUUGCUGGUGGUGUUGCCACUGGGGGCUGCCUGGCUGGUGCUGACCUGUGACAGGGCACCACGUCUAGGGUUACCCCAGCUUGAGGCUGGCACCUCACCCAGCCUCAUCCGUAGUCCGGGCCUGUUGCCGUCCUGGACUCACAUUAGGGAAGAAGGGUGGGAUAUACAUUUAAUUAAUUAAUAAAAGUGUUUGUUUUGAUGAGUGAUUUGAAGGAAAGAGACUUUAACAGCUAUAGAGAUAAAAUAAGUGUAAUGCUCUGGCAAACCCCACCGAUCAAUUUCACAAAGCUAUUUGCACCUUGGGAAAGAGGUGCUUGUUAUUCUGUUGCUUUCACAGCAAGUGGUAUGAGCAGAAUUAAAGGUGCACCAUCUGAUUUUGGAACACAGCUUCUUUUACCAUAAUGUAAUGUUUCAGAAUUUUAAAACUGUGAAUU